GAUGAACGCUGGCGGCGUGCCUAAUACAUGCAAGUCGAGCGAACAGACGAGGAGCUUGCUCCUUUGACGUUAGCGGCGGACGGGUGAGUAACACGUGGAUAACCUACCUAUAAGACUGGGAUAACUUCGGGAAACCGGAGCUAAUACCGGAUAACAUGUUGAACCGCAUGGUUCAACAGUGAAAGACGGUCUUGCUGUCACUUAUAGAUGGAUCCGCGCCGCAUUAGCUAGUUGGUAAGGUAACGGCUUACCAAGGCAACGAUGCGUAGCCGACCUGAGAGGGUGAUCGGCCACACUGGAGCUGAGACACGGUCCAGGCUCCUACGGGAGGCAGCAGUAGGGAAUCUUCCGCAAUGGUCGAAAGCCUGACGGAGCAACGCCGCGUGAGUGAAGAAGGUCUUCGGAUCGUAAAACUCUGUUAUUAGGGAAGAACAAAUGUGUAAGUAACUAUGCACGUCUUGACGGUACCUAAUCAGAAAGCCACGGCUAACUACGUG
rnacentral:rRNA from 1 species